CCUCGCUGGACCUGACCAUGGCCGCGGCCUUGGGUGCACCUGGUAUAAUCUCAGCGUCUCCGUAUGCAGGAGCUGGUUUCCCUCCCACCUUUGCCAUUCCUCAAGCUGCAGGCCUUUCCAUUCCCAACGUCCACGGAGCCCUGGCCCCCCGGCUAUCCCCUGGGCGGCGGCAGCAGCUGCAGCGGCAGGCCGGAUCGCCAUCCCGGGCCUGGCGGGGGCAGGAAAUUCUGUAUUGCUGGUCAGCAACCUCAACCCAGAGAGAGUCACACCCCAAAGCCUCUUUAUUCUUUUCGGCCUCUACGGCGACGUACAGCGCGUGAAGAUCCUGUUCAAUAAGAAGGAGAACGCCCUGGUGCAGAUGGCUGACGGCAACCAGGCCCAGCUGGCCAUGAGCCACCUGAAUGAGCACAAACUGCACGGGAAGCCCAUCCGCAUCACACUCUCGAAGCACCAGAACCUGCAGCUGCCCCGCGAGGGCCAGGAGGACCAGGGCCUGACCAAGGACUAUGGCAACUCACCCCUGCACCUCUUCAACAAGCCGGGCUCCAAGAACUUCCGGAACAUAUUCCCGCCCUCAGCCGCGCUGCACUUCUUCCAACAUCCCACCCUCCGUCUCCGAGGAGGAUCUCAAGGUUCUGUUCUCCAGCAAUGGGGGCGUGGUCAAAGGAUUCAAAUUUUUCCAGAAGGAUCGCAAGAUGGCGCUGAUCCAGAUGGGCUCUGUGGAGGAGGCGGUCCAGGCCCUCAUUGACCUGCACAACCAUGACCUCGGGGAGAACCACCACCUGCGGGUCUCCUUUUCCAAGUCCACCAUCUAGGGGCACAGGCCCUCAUGGCCGGGCCCGCUGGCCAUAAAUUCCA